CGUCUAUAUACGUAUAGCAUAUCAAUAAGCGGAGGAAAAGAAACUAACUAGGAUUCCCUUAGUAACGGCGAGUGAAGCGGGAAGAGCUCAAAUUUGAAAUCUUCAAGGUUUUACCUUGACGAAUUGUAGUUUAAAGAAGUGUUUUCUGUUGGAAUUUUGGUAAAAGUUCUUUGGAAUAGGACAUCAUAGAGGGUGAGAAUCCCGUAUUUGACCAUUAUUUCCAGCUUUGUGAUACACUUUCAAAGAGUCGGAUUGUUUGGGAAUGCAGUCCAAAAUGGGUGGCAAAUUUCAUCUAAAGCUAAAUACUGGCGAGAGACCGAUAGCGAACAAGUACCGUGAGGGAAGAUGAAAAGAACUUUGAAAAGAGAGUUAAACAGUACGUGAAAUUGUCAAAAGGGAAGCGUUUGACACCAGUGUUGUUUUCUCGAAAAUCAAUUAAAAAUGGCAGGAUUUUGUGUUGUAUUGACUUUAUCAGCUUUCUGCACUUUUUUCUUAUCUUUUUUAAUGCACUUUUCGUUUAACAAGUCAACAUCAAUUUCUUUUGUUGUAAAAGAGUCAUUGGAAGGUGGCUUUCUUUUCGGAGAAAGUGUUUAUAGCCUUUGACUUCUGCAAUCGGAGAGAUUGAGGUCUGCAGCGUAGAUCCUUCGGGGUUAGAUACAUUUGUGCUAAGCUAUAGCCUUUCAUAGACAACUUGUUGACUAUGAUCAGUCAUGUAGCUUACUCGCUUAUGUCAUUUUACCUACGCUUAGGAUGUUGACGAUCAGCUGAGCGCG
rnacentral:rRNA from 1 species